rnacentral:rRNA from 1 species
GUCUUUUUGAUUAUAAUUUAAAGUCUGACCUGCCCACUGAUUUUUUAAAGGGCCGCAGUAUUUUAACUGUGCAAAGGUAGCAUAAUAAUUAGUUUCUUAAUUAGAAGCUUGUAUGAAUGGUUAAACGAGAAAUUAGCUGUCUCAAUUUAUAAAUUAAAAUUUUAUUUUUAAGUUAAAAAGCUUAAAUUUAUUUAAAAGACGAGAAGACCCUAUAGAGUUUUAUAUAAAUUAAAGUUUUAAUUUUUAGAAUUAAAAAAAUUUUAAUGAUUAUUUUAUUGGGGUGAUAUAUAAAUUUAUUAAACUUUAUAUUUUUAUUAACAUUAAUUUAUGAAUUUUUGAUCCAUUUUUUAUGAUUAUAAGAAUAAAUUACCUUAGGGAUAACAGCGUUAUUUUUUUUUAGAGUUCAAAUCGAAAGAAAAGAUUGCGACCUCGAUGUUGGAUUAAAAUUAAUUUUUGGUGUAGAAGCUAAAAAAUUAGGUCUGUUCGACCUUUAAAAUUUUACAUGAUCUG